AGUGAACGCUGGCGGUAGGCCUAACACAUGCAAGUCGAACGGCAGCACAGUAAGAGCUUGCUCUUACGGGUGGCGAGUGGCGGACGGGUGCGGAAUACAUCGGAAUCUACUUUUUCGUGGGGGAUAACGUAGGGAAACUUACGCUAAUACCGCAUACGACCUACGGGUGAAAGCAGGGGAUCUUCGGACCUUGCGCGAUUGAAUGAGCCGAUGUCGGAUUAGCUAGUUGGCGGGGUAAAGGCCCACCAAGGCGACGAUCCGUAGCUGGUCUGAGAGGAUGAUCAGCCACACUGGAACUGAGACACGGUCCAGACUCCUACGGGAGGCAGCAGUGGGGAAUAUUGGACAAUGGGCGCAAGCCUGAUCCAGCCAUACCGCGUGGGUGAAGAAGGCCUUCGGGUGGUAAAGCCCUUUUGUUGGGAAAGAAAAGCAGCAGGUUAAUACCCCGCUGUUCUGACGGUACCCAAAGAAUAAGCACCGGCUAACUUCGUG
rnacentral:rRNA from 1 species